rnacentral:rRNA from 1 species
ACGCGAAGAACCUUACCUGGUCUUGACAUCCACAGAAGUUUCCAGAGAUGGGAAGGUGCCUUCGGGAACUGUGAGACAGGUGCUGCAUGGCUGUCGUCAGCUCGUGUUGUGAAAUGUUGGGUUAAGUCCCGCAACGAGCGCAACCCUUAUCCUUUGUUGCCAGCGGUCCGGCCGGGAACUCAAAGGAGACUGCCAGUGAUAAACUGGAGGAAGGUGGGGAUGACGUCAAGUCAUCAUGGCCCUUACGACCAGGGCUACACACGUGCUACAAUGGCGCAUACAAAGAGAAGCGACCUCGCGAGAGCAAGCGGACCUCAUAAAGUGCGUCGUAGUCCGGAUUGGAGUCUGCAACUCGACUCCAUGAAGUCGGAAUCGCUAGUAAU